rnacentral:tRNA from 1 species
GCCAGUGUAGCAUAGUGGUUUGAGUCUUGGGCUACAACUCUGGAGAUCAGGGUUCGAUUCCCACUUGGCCA